rnacentral:rRNA from 1 species
AUUCUGCUGGUUUUCGGAUCCCGAGGUAAUGAUUGAGAGGGGCAGACGGGGGCAUUCGUAUUGCGGCGCUAGAGGUGAAAUUCUUGGACCGCCGCAAGACGGACUACUGCGAAAGCAUUUGCCAAGAAUGUUUUCAUUAAUCAAGAACGAAAGUUAGAGGUUCGAAGGCGAUCAGAUACCGCCCUAGUUCUAACCAUAAACGAUGCCGACCAGCGAUCCGCCMKAGUUMUCCRKACGUCUCGGCGGGCAGCUUCUGGGAAACCAAAGUUUUUGGGUUCCGGGGAAGUAUGGUUGCAAAGCUGAAACUUGAAGGAAUUGACGGAAGGGCACCACAAGGAGUGGAGCCUGCGGCUUAAUUUGACCCAACACGGGAAAACUUACCCGGCCCGGACACCGGAAGGAUUGACAGAUUAAUAGCUCUUUCUUGAUUCGGUGGGUGGUGGUGCAUGGCCGUUCUUAGUUGGUGGAGUGAUUUGUCUGGUUAAUUCCGAUAACGAACGAGACUCCAGCCUGCUAAAUAGACCCACGGUCCGGUCAGUACCGUGAGCGGGGUCUUCUUAGAGGGACGGGCGGCUCUUAGCCGCAUGAAACGGAGCGAUAACAGGUCUGUGAUGCCCUUAGAUGUCCGGGGCCGCACGCGCGCUACACUGAAGGGAUCAGAGCGCGUUUCCCCUAGCCCGAGAGGGCUGGGAAACCGUGUGAACCCCCUUCGUGCUAGGGAUAGGGGAUUGUAAUUGUUCCCCUCGAACGAGGAAUUCCUAGUAAACGCGAGUCAUCAGCUCGCGUUGAUUACGUCCCUGCCCUUUGUACACACCGCCCGUCGCUACUACCGAUUGAAUGAUUUAGUGAGGUCUUCGGACCGGUCCGGCGGAGGGCCCCGGCCAUUCUCCGGACUCGGGAAGAUGCCCGAACUUGGUCAUUUAGAGGAAGUAAAAGUCGUAACAAGGUUGCCGUUGGUGAACCAGCGGCAG